AAACCAGCACCUCAAGUGGUCAGGAUGAUUAUUGGGCCUAAAGCAUCCGGAGCCUGAUCUGUAAGUUUUCGGUUAAAUCUGUACGCUCAACGUACAGGCUGCCGGAAAUACUGCAGAGCUAGGGAGUGGGAGAGGUAGACGGUACUCGGGAGGAAGGGGUAAAAUCCUUUGAUCUCUCGAUGACCACCUGUGGCGAAGGCGGUCUACCAGAACACGUCCGACGGUGAGGGAUGAAAGCUGGGGGAGCAAACCGGAUUAGAUACCCGAGUAGUCC
rnacentral:rRNA from 1 species